GAUGAAGAACGUAGUGAAAUGCGAUAAGUAAUGUGAAUUGCAGAAUUCAGUGAAUCAUCGAAUCUUUGAACGCACCUUGCGCUCCUUGGCAUUCUGAGGAGCAUGCCUGUUUGAGUGUCAUUAAAUUCUCAAGACCUGUCUGCUUUUUUGAUAGGUAUUGGAUUUUGGGGGUUGCAGGCUGUUUCAAAUAAAUAGCCUUGCUCUCCUUGAAUGUAUUAGUGGAGAAAAGCCAUUGAACUCCAUUGGUGUGAUAAAACCUAUCAAUGCCAGGAGCAAUAUCACUACUUCUCUCUGCUGUCUAACUGUGACUGUCUGUAUUAAUUAGUAUGGAUGGGGACAACUUGACCAACUUGACCUCAAAUCAGGUAGGACUACCCGCUGAACUUAAGCAUAUCAAUAAGCGGAGGA
rnacentral:misc_RNA from 1 species